UCCCAAUGAAGAAAACCCUGUUGCGUCUUAUCCUCCGUCCUGGCCCCAGAACCUGCAAAGGUUGAACCCACUGGGGCCAGCGGAGGGAGAGGAGGAGGCCCUGCUCCAGAAGGAGCUGUCUGAUGGGAC